UAUAAGUGACCAUGUUGCAGA
rnacentral:siRNA from 1 species